AACGAACGCUGGCGGCAGGCUUAACACAUGCAAGUCGAGCGCCCCGCAAGGGGAGCGGCAGACGGGUGAGUAACGCGUGGGAAUCUACCCAUCUCUACGGAAUAACGCAUGGGAAACGUGUGCUAAUACCGUAUACGUCCUUCGGGAGAAAGAUUUAUCGGAGAUGGAUGAGCCCGCGUUGGAUUAGCUAGUUGGUGGGGUAAAGGCCUACCAAGGCGACGAUCCAUAGCUGGCCUGAGAGGAUGAUCAGCCACACUGGGACUGAGACACGGCCCAGACUCCUACGGGAGGCAGCAGUGGGGAAUAUUGGACAAUGGGCGCAAGCCUGAUCCAGCCAUGCCGCGUGAGUGAUGAAGGCCCUAGGGUUGUAAAGCUCUUUCACCGGUGAAGAUAAUGACGGUAACCGGAGAAGAAGCCCCGGCUAACUUCGUGCCAGCCGCCGCUGUAAAAC
rnacentral:rRNA from 1 species